rnacentral:lncRNA from 1 species
CCGUCAGGUUUUCUGCAGUGAGCAGAGCUCUGGACCCAGGCAUGUGACUUUCUUUGGCCAACUGAAUGUGGCAGAAGUAACAGAGUGACGGCUCCUGGCUAAAUAUCCUGAAGAAGAAAUUACCUGUUGGUGGCUCCAGUGUACCAGUGGAAAGGUUUAAGAGCGGCUUGGUUAAGUGAGGGUGGCUGGCUCCUUUGUCAACCAUGACGUGGCUGAGUAUGUCCGGAGUUGUUUCUGCUUCUUCUAAUCUAUUCCACGGAUCUGCAGCACAGCAUGCUGUCUCUCUAGGCUUUUUCGAAGUCCGAUGGAGUGCAUAACCUGAGCGCGGUGAGCUGUAAGGGAGAGGCCUAAAGCCCAGGCUCGGGGAGAAGCCCACGCUGCCCAGCCCUGUAUCUCCUGGCACCCAUUUCUCGAUGUCCUACCGCAACACACAGCCGCGUAAGAGGUG